rfam:Agaricus bisporus var. burnettii JB137-S8 unplaced genomic scaffold AGABI1scaffold_30, whole genome shotgun sequence.
GCCACUGUAGCACAAUGGUAGUGCGUUGCUUUCCUAUUCCAACAGUUGUGCGAGGCAAAGGUUGCGGGUUCGAUCCCCGUCAGUGGUU